rnacentral:tRNA from 1 species
ACUUAAAUAAUUUAAAUUAAAAUAUUGAUUUGUGGUUUCAAAAAUAUGAUAAAGGUCAUUUUAGGUU